UACGGAAGGCAGCAGUGGGGAAUAUUGCACAAUGGGCGAAAGCCUGAUGCAGCUAUGCCGCGUGUAUGAAGAAGGCCUUAGGGUUGUAAAGUACUUUCAUCGGGGAGGAAAAACAAAACUAAUAAUUUUAUUUCUUGACGUUACCCGAAAAAGAAGCACCGGCUAACUCCGUGCCAGCAGCCGCGGUAAUACGGAGGGUGCUAGCGUUAAUCAGAAUUACUGGGCGUAAAGGGCACGCAGGCGGUUAAUUAAGUUGGAUGUGAAAUCCCCGGGCUUAACCUGGGAAUGGCAUUCAAGACUGGUUAGCUAGAGUCUUGUAGAGGGGGUUAGAAUUCCAUGUGUAGCGGUGAAAUGCGUAGAGAUGUGGAGGAAUACCGGUGGCGAAGGCGGCCCCUGGACAAAGACUGACGCUCAUGUGCGAAAGCUGGGGAGCAAACAGGGAUUAGAUACCCGU
rnacentral:rRNA from 1 species